AUGCUGCGGUCAUGGGGCACUACCUCAGGAAAGCCAUCUUGUUUUGAGGAAUUUCACCAAUUUCCUCCAUCAUUCUCUUUGUCAAGCUAUGACAAAACUAUCCAAGGUUCAGCGCAGAUGGGAACAGCCUUUCCUCCCCUGGCUGAGGCAGGAGCUGCAAAAGAUCAUAAAUGUGUCUGGAGAGCUGUGUUCCUUAUUCUACUGAAGAUUUUAAUAUUCCUAUUCCUACAACUUAUAUUUCAAGUGACGAGAAGAUCUACUAGCAUUCUCCAAAUAAAGGAAAUCAGGACAGAAGACAGCAGCAUAUAGUCUGGUGCUCAGCAAAACAUAAACCAUGUCGCAGCAUAGCAGGGGAAGGCUUCAGUGGACUCAAAUGCAAGACCUCUUGCUGCCUAAGGUUCUUCUGGCCUUGGUAUUUUUUAUCUAGUGGUUUUCCUAUCUGAACUUUUGCAUGCUUACUAAAUCAAAGGAUGGAGGAAAGACGUUGUCCAAUAAAAGCACAAGAAGUAGAUCUCUAUCUUCGCUGAAUCCAGUGGCAAAAUAUUCAUUCGCCUCAUUGUGAGCAGCAGCAACUCCUUUUUCUUCAGACACUGAAUCAUGCUACAAGAACGAGCAGCGCUGUAGCUGAUCUAUGCUAUGGAGAAAGUCAUUCCAAUUUCUGGGGCUCUAUGAAGGAAUGCAAAAUGACUGCAAAGAGCAAAAACAACAAGCCACAGCUCAAAAAUAUAACCACCUGAUUUUUCAAGGUUCAUCAUGCCAACCAACAAAU